UACGGAGGGUGCAAGCGUUAAUCGGAAUUACUGGGCGUAAAGCGCACGCAGGUGGCUGAGUCAGUCGAUUGUGAAUCCCCAGGCUCAACCUGGGAACUGCAUCCGAUACUGGAUGGCUUGAAUUCGGAGAGGGAUGCAGAAUUCCAGGUGUAGCGGUGAAAUGCGUAGAUAUCUGGAGGAAUACCGGUGGCGAAGGCGGCGAUCCUGGACCGACAUUGACGCUGAUGAGCGAAAG
rnacentral:rRNA from 1 species